rnacentral:rRNA from 1 species
ACAUGCAAGUCAGGGGCAGCACAAGGAGCAAUCUGAGGUGGCGACCGGCGCACGGGUGAGUAACACGUAUGCAACCUGCCUGUAAGCGGGGAAUAAACCCGUUGAAAGACGGACUAAUACCGCAUAAUACUAAAUUACUGCAUGGUAAUUUAUUUAAACAUUUAUGGCUUACAGAUGGGCAUGCGCAUGAUUAGCUAGUUGGAGAGGUAACGGCUCCCCAAGGCAACGAUCAUUAGGGGUUCUGAGAGGAAGGUCCCCCACACUGGUACUGAGACACGGACCAGACUCCUACGGGAGGCAGCAGUGAGGAAUAUUGGUCAAUGGACGAGAGUCUGAACCAGCCAAGUCGCGUGCAGGAAGAAUGUCCUAUGGAUUGUAAACUGCUUUUGCAGGGGAAUAAAGUGCAUCACGUGUGAUGUUUUGUAUGUACUCUGCGAAUAAGGAUCGGCUAACUCCGUGCCAGCAGCUGC